rnacentral:rRNA from 1 species
UCGGGUUGUAAAGCACUUUUGUCCGGAAAGAAAACCUUCGCUCGAAUACAGUGGGGGGAUGACGGUACCGGAAGAAUAAGCACCGGCUAACUACGUGCCAGCAGCGCGGUAAUCGUAGGGUGCGAGCGUUAAUCGGAAUUACUGGGCGUAAAGCGUGCGCAGGCGGCUCGUUAAGACAGAUGUGAAAUCCCCGGGCUUAACCUGGGAACUGCAUUUGUGACUGGCGAGCUAGAGUAUGGCAGAGGGGGGUAGAAUUCCACGUGUAGCAGUGAAAUGCGUAGAGAUGUGGAGGAAUACCGAUGGCGAAGGCAGCCCCCUGGGCCAAUACUGACGCUCAUGCACGAAAGCGUGGGGAGCAAACAGGAUUAGAUACCCUGGUAGUCCACGCCCUAAACGAUGUCAACUAGUUGUUGGGGAUUCAUUUCCUUAGUAACGUAGCUAACGCGUGAAGUUGACCGCCUGGGGAGUACGGUCGCAAGAUUAAAACUCAAAGGAAUUGACGGGGACCCGCACAAGCGGUGGAUGAUGUGGAUUAAUUCGAUGCAACGCGAAAAACCUUACCUACCCUUGACAUGGUCGGAACCCUGCUG